rnacentral:rRNA from 1 species
GACGAACGCUGGCGGCGUGCUUAACACAUGCAAGUCGAACGAUGACGCCGGAGCUUGCUCUGGUGGAUUAGUGGCGAACGGGUGAGUAACACGUGAGUAACCUGCCCUUGACUCUGGGAUAAGCGUUGGAAACGACGUCUAAUACCGGAUACGAGCUAGGACCGCACGGUCACUAGCUGGAAAGAAUUUCGGUCAAGGAUGGACUCGCGGCCUAUCAGUUAGUUGGUGAGGUAACGGCUCACCAAGACGACGACGGGUAGCCGGCCUGAGCGGGUGACCGGCCACACUGGGACUGAGACACGGCCCAGACUCCUACGGGAGGCAGCAGUGGGGAAUAUUGCACAAUGGGCGCAAGCCUGAUGCAGCAACGCCGCGUGAGGGACGACGGCCUUCGGGUUGUAAACCUCUUUUAGCAGGGAAGAAGCGCAAGUGACGGUACCUGCAGAAAAAGCACCGGCUAACUACGUGCCAGCCGCCGCGGUAA